UUCGGCUGAUUGUCAGAGCGACUUGCCAGGAGCAGCAGGUGUGUUUGUUUGUUUGUGUAGGAGUGAAUCAGUGCGUCGGGGUUCUGCUGUUUGUGCUGCUUUUACCGCACGCGGGGCUCCGGCUGCACGGCAACAAGUGAGCUCCGCGAGCGAGCGUGCGUGCGUGCGCGCGCGCGAGCGAGCGAGGCCGGGAAGUGACACGCACACACCGCGCAGAGAUCCCAGCAAAGCAGAUGUGCUCCUGACCCUGAGCUCAGCCACUGAAAUGCAAAGUCGGAUGCCUGUUUGGCACAGCUCCCCCCUCCCCCCUUCACUCCUCCUGUACAGAGGUUUCCGAGAGACAAGCCAGUCAGCCACCAAGUCAGCCGCCCAGCGAGUCAGCCAGCCUGCGCACCACUCUACUGUUCCUGUGCUUCCACACGGCUCCCAAUCAGCUGGUUGGGUAGGACGACAUAGCUGGCGGCCUCAGGCAACAUACCUUUGUGCAGUGGCACGGG